AUGUGGCUCUCCCUCCCUCCCUCCCUCGCUUCCUACCUGGCCCUGGCGUGCGAGAGAGAGAGAGAGAGAGUAUACAACAGGGUACAGGGAGGAGGUGGGGGCGGGCAGAGAGAGCAGUGUGCGCCCUUGCCUGCCUGCCUUGCCUUGUGCUGCCCCGCUGCCCUCCUCUCUCUCUCUCUCUCUCUCCCCUCUGCUGCUCGCUCGCUCUCUCUCUGUCCUCGCUGUGUGGUGGUGUGGCCUCGUCUCUUCUCUCUCUCUCUCUCUACUGCUAUCUCCUUCCCUGGAUGCGUGCAACAUAAAAAAGGUUAA
rnacentral:rRNA from 1 species